rnacentral:rRNA from 1 species
GGGCAGCAACUAGGAAUUUUGCGCAAUGGACGAAAGUCUGACGCAGCGACGCCGCGUGCGGGAUGAAGGCCUUAGGGUCGUAAACCGCUGUGGAGAGGGAAGAAGAUCUGACGGUACCUCUCUAGAAAGCACCUGCUAACUACGUGCCAGAAGCCUCGGUGAUACGUAGGGUGCAAGCGUUAUCCGGAUUUACUGGGCGUAAAGAGUCUCGUAGGCGGUUUGGUAAGUGAUUGGUGAAAUCCUUAGGCUCAACCUAAGAAUUGCCGGUCAUACUAUCAGACUAGAGUAGUUUCGGGGAAGUUGGAAUUCACGGUGUAGGGGUGAAAUCCGUUGAUAUCGUGAAGAACACCAAGGGCGAAGGCAGACUUCUAGGAACUCACUGACGCUGAUGAACGAAAGCUAGGGGAGCAAACGGGAUUAGAUACCCGUGUAGUC